GAUCUUCCCAGCAGGUCCGGGCUGCAAUCCGGACCAAAGCCUGCCGGCCGCGCUUUGUCCCGCCGUGAGCGCGGGUUUCCGCGGCGUGGGGCAGGGAGCGCCCGCACCCCCGCCCCCGUGGCCGCGGAGGGUCGCCCGGCCGCUGCCGGCGAAGAGGCGAGGCUUCCCGUAGGAAAACAGCCUUAGCGUGCGGGCGGCGGGGGGAAUAAAUUGAGGAGGCGGGAAUAACGUCCCUGCGGAGGGACAGACGGCAGCGGAGCGCUGCAGGGCGCUCGGCGGCAGGGGUGGGGAAGGUCCAAGUACUCAUGCAUAAAAAGAAGAACACCCUGCAACCACAAAGGCCCAAUUCUGCUCUAACUUACGCUGGGUGGGCCAGAAGAUUACUUUGGAGCUCAUGUAAGUGACACUCCAAGGAAUGGCUGGCAGCGGGUUCAGCGGCCCCGGCCCCUGGAGCCGCAGGAUGUCAUCCCCGUGACAUGCCUGGAAACCCCAGCUCAUCCCUCAACUGUCCCGGUUACAGCAGCAUCUCCGUCAUGUUGCACUUCAAGUCUGUCACAGGCACGGGUUCACGCUCCUCACCCGGGAACCCUUCUCUUUUUUGCUGAGGACCAUAUUUUUAUUUUUAACACAGAGUCCUUCACAUCAGUGGCAGUGAGGGUUUCUUUUGCAAGAUGGCAUUCCGCCAUAGGAGGGGUUGGCUGGGGAUCACACACCAAAUGUACACACAUGUGCUAAGAGAGGAGCCGUGCGUGAAAGCCACCUAAACAUAAAUUUGAAAUUUAUUUCUUUUUCAGUGAUUUUGAAAGGUCUUGGGCCAGUAGCUCUGGACACCAGCUCUGGUCUCUGCACUUUCUCUUUCACAUCACUCUGUGGGAAGCAGUUUUUGGGAGACCUCUGCCUGCCUGGAGGUGUGGGGCUGUCCCGGCAGCUUUGCCCCACGCCAGCCACCCGGUUCCUGGAGCCCAGGACGCUCCUGGUGGGGGGACACAGCCAGAGCGCUCCCACCAGCUGUAGCCAGACAUUAUGGCUCAUGCUGGAGGGACUCACUGCCGGCACCGUAAUUGCAGGCUAGCUAGAUUUUUGCUGUGGUAUUACAAAUUCCCCCAGGGAAGCCCACAACUAUGACCAUUUACAUGGUAACAUUGUCAGGCAUGAGUCAUUUUCUUCUCUCUCUCUGUCUGUCUCUGUUUCUCCCUCACACACACACACUCACAAAUGCGAGCACAAAUCAACAAACUGGUAAAUAACAUUUAAAUGAUGCUUUAGUGCAUUUUCAGCCCUCUUUUUCUGGCUGAGUGUACAGUUUGAUGUACUUUUUUUUUGUUGCUAUAAAAUGUAGCACAAAAUGUGUGGGCCAUGUGAAUGUUUAUACCGGAAUGAUGACUUUUGCAUCUUCUGCUUCGUAUUAUGGUUUUUUACCGGGCUACCUUUAAGAGUCCUUUAACUAAAAAAUUAGUGAGGAAAAUGAAUCCUUAAAAACCAAAUCUUUCUCAAUAUAAUAAAACAGGAAACUUGCAAAGUGAGUGACAGGGUCACUGUUUAAGAAGUUUUUUCACCUGACUCUCCUUCAUUAAUGCUCCCGCUCUGCUAAGCUUCUUGCCGCCCUUUUCCUACACAUCCGAAUAAAUGCAAUGUGUGUAGUCUCAUUUUAUUGUACUGGCUACAUAGUCAUAAUUCACAUAAGUAAGUACUUGCAGGUUUGGUGUUCUUGGAUCUGAAUUCUUCUGUGAAGCAACUUUCUCGUGUACUCUGAAAUGUUCAGUUUGGUGCUUUUUUAAAAAAAAAAAAAAGAGCAUCCGCUAAAAGAAAGUUAGGAAUGUCGCUGCAAAGUUGUGGGGUGCCUGAAUGAAGGUUGCUUUUACAAGACAAAUAUGGCAGGUUUGUGCAUGCAUCCUGAUUGUCUGAGCAAUAUCCCGCAGGGGAUCGCUGCUGAACCACACACUCUGUCUUAAGCAGGAACGGAUUUGAUUUCCCCCCUCUCCUCCGCUUUUGUCACUCUUUCUCCAGCACAAUGCAUGAGACAGGGUGUGUGAAACCAGUGCUGUGUUGUCACCUAACAGGCAGGGUGAAAGGGCAGUACCGUAAAACGUAGCUCAGCUCAGGUGAUCCUGGAGAGUGUCAAAAUGGAGGAUGUAGGUGGAGUAAAAAGCAGGUAAAUUUGUGUACCACAGCGGGUGUCUGGGUGAAAAUUCUGGAUGCAGUGACCAGAUCUGUGUGGCCAAAUGUGUGCCGAAGACACCGCCGGGAAUGUGUGACUAUGAGUUUGGUGGCGAGGCCUCAGGUUUUGCAUUUUGUUAGAUUUACGUUUGUGGAGUGAGCAGAGGUUGAAUAAUUUAUGGUGGUGACCACUUAGAUACCAUAUGUCAUGUUUUUUUUAAAGCAGUAUGGUUUUUUUAAUACACAAAAGGGAACAGACACUGGAGCUGAACUUUCUUCAUUUUAUUCAAGAAAAGAAUACUUAAAAAUGCUUAGAGUAAAGGGAGCCCCUUUCUAUACACUUUGAAUCUGCACUAAACUUGACUAGUCAGCAUCACUCUGUCUUUCCAAUGAAAAAUAAAUCCAGAAUGAUUGCACAGUAUCACACACAAGAAGAAACAACAAGACUUUUACACCGGUCUCAGUAAGACAGCAUGCUUUAGUGUAGUUGUAAAGUUUAGUGAAAGCGUAUUUCUGUCCAUUGUUUAAAAAUGCAUAUUUAAAGAAAUAACGACUCAAUUCCCA